AUGAAAUAUCAGAUUCUAAUCAAGGGUUAUCUCAAAGUAAUUUUAAAUAAUUAAAAUCGUGAUUUAAAUAUAAUUUAUUAUCAAGAAUAAUUUAUUUGAAUAAAUAUGCGUUUGAUUUUAUUAAACCAAGAAGCUCAAGAUUAAACAAGGUGUUAAUUCAUAUCAAAUUUUGAUUCAAUUUUGUCAAUUUAUUAAAUUUGGACUUUAACUGAAAUAAAUUUAACCAUAAUUACAAUGCAAUUGGUCGAUUGAGUUUUAAUUAGGCUAAAUUUUAAAGGCAAUUGUCUAAAUUUUCCCUUUUAGUUAUUUAAUAAAUAGUCAAAAUAGACUAACCUAUCCAUACCCUAAUUUAACUGAGGAUUAUUUUUAACAACCCCAAUUCCAGUUGAGUUCCAGUCGAUCCAGGCCCAAAGAAUAACCCAAUUCACCAAACCAACACCCAUCAGCCCAAAUUAGCUAAUACCCGGACCAAUCCUCUUCAACAACAACAACAACCAAACAUACAACACAACAAUAAUUUCAACUGGCCCAACAGUCCGACCCGACCCAGCCCAGCACUAAGUCCUCUUUCUCUUUCGUAGCCAAAAUCCCACAGCAGCAUUACACGUAACAAACACCAAAACAUCGACAAUUUUAAUCCCACCCACAACUCUCAAAGCUCAACCCGACCCGACAACCCGAAACCGGCGGCCCCAACGCCCGGCGCCGGUGAUCCAACCCAGUCGAAACCCGUACCCGAUAUCCCCAACACUAAUAUCAAAACUUCAACCCGAGUUCAAUAAUCUUGAACCGACCCAGCACCGCGAACCCGAUACAACUAAACAGCUACAACAAUGAUUUCAACAACCAAUUCCCUUGGUCUCGUACGGUCUUAUGACGAGUUUGGAUUUUUAUGGAAGCUUCCACAGAUUACCCACAUCCUCCUUUUCUAUUCGCUCAUCGUACGAACAAGGACGGAGACGCGCUGAUCUCUAUCCAUUUCUUUGUCACCUUUUCAUAGCCCUUCAAUUAGGAAUUUGGUUUUCAUCCAUAUCACCCAAAAACAAUAAUUCAUCCCCAAUUGUCCUUCUAUUAAGGCUCAUUAUGAGCUGAAAAGAGAUCAAGUCUUGAAGGUUGAAGAAAACUCUUGAGCAAAAAGUCAUAUUUUUAGUCAAAAAAUUUUUGUAUCGCGAGAAAGUCGACGAGUUCUCGGAGUCGCAGAAGUCUUCUGGUGGUGGUGAGGAGAUUCCAACAAUGAUUCGAGUCCAAUUUUGCUGCUCCAAAAUAGGUUCUUUGCGUUAAGGAUUCUCCGAGCACAAUUUGAACAGAUUAAGAGGAGUUGAAAUCUUUUCUUGGGUUUUCCUUUCAAAACAGUAGACUACCUGAUCUCCAGUUGUUUACUUUUGUAGUUACUUUAAAAGUUUUCAGCCUUAGCACUUCCUUGGUGUGAAUGAUUGUUUAAGCAUAGGCAUAGCAUUAUUUCACUUCUGUAUGCGAUUAAAAAGUAUAAAAUGAAUGCGACUCUUUUUUAGUACCUAUUUUUGGUCCAAGCUAAUAUUUGACUUUGGCCUAAUGUUCUGCCUGGCAUGAUUUAAAGCCUUGAUUUAAAAUUCUCAUUACGUGAUCGUAGUAAUCAUUUUCUAAAUAGUUGGUGUGUUACUUAUAGUCCUCUGUUGCUUUAUGGUUUGAGUAUAUAAUUUAUUUGGCUAUGGAUAUGAAAGGAUGGGGACUGGAAAUGCUCAAGAAGAAAUCCUGAACAAAUGAGUUUAGAUUCCCUUGUGCGUUACCAGAUCCCAAAUUUUCAAAUUGCUUAUCUCUUAUGCAUUGAAAUUCUGUUAGAAAUGUGAGUUUUCUUGAUCCUAUGACUGUAUUGGCAUACUUUGUUUUCUUUAUACUCCUACUUCAUCUCUUGGGAAUUUAAAAGCGAGAAUUACUUCUUUUUUUGGUUAGAAGCCCAGAUCAUUUGAAGUUAGGAUUCAAAAUGGGACCUCUUUGUCAUGUUUAGUUCUCACCCCUGAAAAUUUCUCGAUUUGGAACGAUUAGACAAGUAUUUAUUCCGUGCCAUCAUUGCAAUAUAUGUGAAAGGUUUUGAUAAUUGUGUCCCUUAUUGGUUAUUUGCUUCAAUUCGUUUUGUCUUGAUGGUGAUUGAACUCGUUUAGGGUAGAUUAAUUGUGAAUAGAUCAUCUUUUCCUAUUUUGAAAUUUACAUAUUUUGCCUGGGAUCUGUUCAUCUUUCCCCUAGUUUGAAAUUUACAUUGUUUUGCCUAGGAUGAAAAUUCCAACUUGCAUUAUCCCUAAAAGUUCCCUUUUUAUUAUCCUUAUUCAUUAUUUUGUUAAAAUAGAAGAGAAAGAUUAGUGAAGUAUGUCCAUUUUAGAGUGGUUUGUGAGUCGAGUAAAUCAAUUCUAGAUAAACAACCCUUCCUGGAAUUAUAAUUGGGCUUACUUUUCUGGAAAAUAUAUUCACGAAUUCUCAUCCUUUCACCUGCUCUAGUAUGCAUGCCUUGCUCAAAUAAUCUGGAUUACCAUUUUUAUCAUUAAUCUGCUCCAUUUGCAUUCAACUUUACAUGGCAUUUUGUUCGGUCCAUUGAAUCGCUUGUCUUCUUACUCUAAUUUACAAGGACGAUGAUUAAUCCUUAUUAUUUUCUUUGGUGCAUGUGAAAUGAAUUCGGAACAUUACGUUUGAGUCUUACACGGGCUCUUCCCAUAUGCAUUUCAUGAUGUGCCAAUGCGGCCUAUCCCUUUGAGUCGACUAUCUUUGGAGGAAGAAGAAGUUACCAUGAGAAGAAUAAAGAGUGGAUCAAAACUCAUUUAUGAAGUUGUCAAGAGAUUUUAAAAGUUUCAUUUUUUUUAUUACUUUACUUAUCUUAGUCAUUUGUUUAUUUAUUUUAUUUAUUCAUUCAUUUGGGCCUUGAAGCCAAAGUUGUAAAUUUAAUACAUAUGGAGCAGAUUUUGGGCCCACAGGCCUAAAAGUUUCAGGAAAUUGCAUGUCAUAGACCCAAAUAUGGGUGGCUUUAAAUAUUUGAUCCCAAAUAAGAAUGUCUUUGAAGAA